rnacentral:lncRNA from 1 species
AUGAACAAAGCUAGUGGAGGUGAUGGAAUUCCAGUUGAGCUGUUUCAAAUCCUGAAAGAUGAUGCUGUCAAAGUGCUGCACUCAAUAUGCCAGCAAAUUUGGGAAACUCAGCAGUGGCCACAGGACUGGAAAAGGUCACUUUUCAUUCCAAUUUCAAAGAAAGGCAAUGCCAAAGAAUGCUCAAACUACCACUCAAUUGCACUCAUCUCACAUGCUAGUAAAGUAAUGCUCAAAAUUCUCCAAGCCAGGCUUCAGCAAUACAUGAACCAUGAAAUUCCUGAUGUUCAAGCUGGUUUGAGAAAAGGCAGAGGAACCAGAGAUCAAAUUGCCAACAUCCGCUGGAUCAUGGAAAAAGCAAGAGAGUUCCAGGAAAACAUCUAUUUCUGCUUUAUUGACUAUGCCAGAGCCUUUGACUAUGUGGAUCACAAUAAACUGUGGAAAAUUCUGAAAGAGAUGGGAAUACCAGGCCACCUGACCUGCCUCUUGAGAAAUCUGUAUGCAGGUCAGGAAGCAACAGUUAGAACUGGACAUGGAACAACAGACUGGUUCCAAAUAGGAAAAGGAGUACGUCAAGGCUGUAUAUUGUCACCCUGCUUAUUUAACUUCUAUGCAGAGUACAUCAUGAGAAACGCUGGACUGGAAGAAACACAAGCUGGAAUCAAGAUUGCUGGGAGAAAUAUCAAUAACCUCAGAUAUGCAGAUGACAUCACCCUUAUGGCAGAAAGUGAAGAGGAAAUAAAAAACCUCUUGGUGAAAGUGAAAGAGGAGAGUGAAAAAGUUGGCUUAAAGCUCAACAUUCAGAAAAUGAAGAUCAUGGCAUCUGGUCCCAUCACUUCAUGGGAAAUAGAUGGGGAAACAGUGGAAACAGUGUCAGACUUUAUUUUUGGGGGCUCCAAAAUCACUGCAGAUGGUGACUGCAGCCAUGAAAUUAAAAGACGCUUACUCCUUGAAAGAAAAGUUAUGACCAAUUUAGAUAGCAUAUUCAAAAGCAGAGACAUUACUUUGCCAAGUGAGGUCUGUUUAGUCAAGGCUAUGGUUUUUCCAGUGGUCAUGUACGGAUGUGAGAGUUGGACUGUGAAGAAGUCUGAGUGCCGAAGAAUUGAUGCUUUUGAACUGUGA